rnacentral:piRNA from 1 species
UGGAAAGCAGUUUAUCUGGAGCUCCGUC